GAGUGGGAGGGUCCGUGUUUGGUUGCCUCCAGGUCAAGGUGAUCUGUGGUGAAUGGUGCUGGUAGUUCUGCCUGGAGGGUGCGGAUGGUGCGCAAUUACAGUGGCUUUUUGUUUGAGUGCGUGUGUUGGUAUGCGUCUGUCGGGAGACUUGAUUUGUGGGUUGACUUCAUUUGGUGAGUUGUUGAGCAGCUGUUUCUUUCUAUUUUUCCAUCCUUUUCUUCCUCCGAUUGGCAUAUUAAAUCCAUGCUAAAUGAAUGCUAAGUUUGAUUAAGAAAAGUUAAUAGUAGCAGUGAGUACUUUAGAUGAUUCAAGUCAUGUUAAUGUCAUCUAAUAGUAUUUUGCUGCAGAAAACAGUCUUAUUGGAGGUCGUGAGAGUUUCACAAAUUUAUUUGGUAGGGGAAUUGACAUAAUAAUUGGAUCAAUGCAUUGAAAGAAGAAUCAAAUCAAUCUUGUAGCAAAUUU
rnacentral:lncRNA from 1 species